UGGGCGAAGGUGCAGAUUCCCCCCUGAACUCGACCCCCCUAGAGCUUUUAGCCCCCCAUACUCGGUCAAAGCGCGUUGACCUCCCCAAAGUCUCGGAAGAAGGGUGCAAUUAGAUCCCUCCGUUAAACGGCGUUUAAACGCCGUUUUCUUUAAUCUUUUUUUUUAAUUUUCUAAUGGGUCCCACUCCUCUCUCUCUCUUCUCCACCGCCAUUGUCAUCCUCUCACACUCACAGUCUGCCUCCUCCUUCUUUUGCCGGCGACGGAGACCGCCUUCGGCCACCCUCUCGGCUCCAUUUUUCUGUCAACCUCACAAAGACGCAAGGUCCGCCGCCCCUCCUUCUCCCUCUCAUUUCUCCGGCGACUGCUCGGCUCCACUUUUCUGUCAACCUCACAAAGACGCAAGGUCCGCCGCCCCUCCU
rnacentral:lncRNA from 1 species